rnacentral:rRNA from 1 species
UAUGAUUAUAUUGAAAUCAGACAUAGUACGCUAAGGUUGUAUGUCUAAAGGGAAACAGCCCAGAACAAGCGUUAAUAAGGUUCCAAAAUUAUUAUUAAGUGAAACAAAGGUAGUUUAUGUUUUAAACGUCCAGGAAAUAGGCUUAGAAGCGGCCAUUUUUUAAAGAUCUCGUAACAGAGCACUGGUUUUAUUAUAUAAUAAUAUAAAAUGACAGCAGCAGCAUUUCAUUUUUCUAAUAGAAAAAAAGAAAAAAAAAAAUAAGAAUUUCUGCAAAAAGGAAAAUCAGGAAAAAGAUGCAGAAAAAGUCUUAUUUUAGUUUUGUUUUGUUAUGUUAUCUAAAAUUUUAUACUAUUUAGACGGAUAUAAGCACUGACGAUUCCACGGAUCUAAAUAAUAUACCGAAACCUUGUCCAUAUAUAUUUAUAAUCGCCUUAUUUUUUCUCUACUUACUUCUCUUUUUUAGAGAAGUGUUAAAAAAAAUAUGCAGAAGAUAUAAUGGGGUAGCGGAACAUUGGGCAAACCACACCUUUUUUUUAUAAAAAAAUUUUAGGUACCCCAAGUGAUAAUGCUGACAUGAGUAACGAUAAAGGGAGAUCCCUCGCCUAAAGCUUAUGGAAUUUAGUUAAAGUAACGGCCUCUAAGUUUAUAUAUAAAUAAGAAAAACUUAUCUUUAUAACUUAUAAAGAUUAUGUUAACCUAAAGGACUAAACGAUGAGCAAAUCUAGAAAGGUACAAAUUAAUAACAUUUAUAAAAUUUUCUAAGAAAAAAACAUAUAAGAAAAAUAACUAUAUUCUUCAUUUUUUUUUAGAAAAUUAUUAAAGUGAUAAAUGUUCUGGAAAAUAGUAUCUAUUUAUAUAAUUAUUUUAUAUGAGUAGUAGACAGAAAAUAUAGAUUUUAAGUAUACCGUACCUAAAUACUACCACAAGUAAGCAAGUAGAG